rnacentral:tRNA from 1 species
GCAGGAGGUGUAGCGGUUAAAGCUCUUGCCUGUCAAUCAAAGGACCCAGGUUUGAAUCCUGACUCCUGCU